rnacentral:rRNA from 1 species
UAGAGUUUGAUCCUGGCUCAGGAUGAACGCUAGCUACAGGCUUAACACAUGCAAGUCGAGGGGCAUCAUGGAGUUUGCUUGCAAACUCUGAUGGCGACCGGCGCACGGGUGAGUAACGCGUAUCCAACCUUCCCUAUAGUAGAGGAUAGCCCGGCGAAAGUCGGAUUAAUACUCUAUGUUUUCCGUUGCAGACAUCUAAGAUGGAACAAAGGCUUGCCGCUAUAGGAUGGGGAUGCGUCUGAUUAGGUAGUCGGCGGGGUAACGGCCCACCGAGCCAUCGAUCAGUAGGGGUUCUGAGAGGAAGGUCCCCCACAUUGGAACUGAGACACGGUCCAAACUCCUACGGGAGGCAGCAGUGAGGAAUAUUGGUCAAUGGGCGAGAGCCUGAACCAGCCAAGUAGCGUGCAGGACGACGGCCCUAUGGGUUGUAAACUGCUUUUAUGCGGGGAUAAAGUUCACUACGUGUAGUGUUUUGUAGGUACCGCAUGAAUAAGGACCGGCUAAUUCCGUGCCAGCAGCCGCGGUAAUACGGAAGGUCCGGGCGUUAUCCGGAUUUAUUGGGUUUAAAGGGAGCGCAGGCCGGAGGUCAAGCGUGACGUGAAAUGUAGCCGCUCAACGGCUGAACUGCGUCGCGAACUGGCUUUCUUGAGUGAGUUCGAUGUGGGCGGAAUUCGUGGUGUAGCGGUGAAAUGCUUAGAUAUCACGAAGAACUCCGAUUGCGAAGGCAGCCCACAAGGCCUUUACUGACGCUAAAGCUCGAAGGUGCGGGUAUCGAACAGGAUUAGAUACCCUGGUAGUCCGCACGGUAAACGAUGGAUGCCCGCUGUUUGCGAUAUACUGUGAGCGGCCAGAAGAAUCGUUAAGCAUCCCACCUGGGAAGUACCCCGGCAACGGUAAAACCCAAAGGAUUGGACGGGGGCCCCGCCCAGGCGGAGGAACUUGUGGUUUAAUUCCAU